rnacentral:rRNA from 1 species
GAUGAACGCUGGCGGCGUGCCUAAUACAUGCAAGUCGAGCGAACGGACGAGAAGCUUGCUUCUCUUAUGUUAGCGGCGGACGGGUGAGUAACACGUGGAUAACCUACCUAUAAGACUGGGAUAACUUCGGGAAACCGGAGCUAAUACCGGAUAAUAUUUUGAACCGCAUGGUUCAAAAGUGAAAGACGGUCUUGCUGUCACUUAUAGAUGGAUCCGCGCUGCAUUAGCUAGUUGGUAAGGUAACGGCUUACCAACGCAACGAUGCAUAGCCGACCUGAGAGGGUGAUCGGCCACACUGGAACUGAGACACGGUCCAGACUCCUACGGGAGGCAGCAGUAGGGAAUCUUCCGCAAUGGGCGAAAGCCGGACGGAGCAACGCCGCGUGAGUGAUGAAGGCCUUCGGAUCGUAAAACUCUGUUAUUAGGGAAGAACAUAUGUGUAAGUAACUGUGCACAUCUUGACGGUACCUAAUCAGAAAGCCACGGCUAACUACGUG